rnacentral:rRNA from 1 species
GACGAACGCUGGCGGCGUGCUUAACACAUGCAAGUCGAACGGUGAAGCGCCUUCCUUUUUGGUGGGUGUGGAUGAGUGGCGAACGGGUUAGUAACACGUGAGUAACCUGCCCCCUUCUUCUGGAUAACCGCAUGAAAGUGUGGCUAAUACGGGAUAUUCUGGGUCUGUCGCAUGAUGGGUCUGGGAAAGAUAUUGUUUCGGUGGGGGAUGGGCUCGCGGCCUAUCAGCUUGUUGGUGGGGUGAUGGCCUACCAAGGCGGUGACGGGUAGCCGGCCUGAGAGGGGGGGGGGCCGCACAGGAGGGGAGGCAGGGGCGAGCCACCUACGGGGGGGGGGAGGGGGGGGGAAUGGAGGAAGGGGGGGAGCAGGACGGAGCCAGGCAGCGGGGGGGAGGAAGGGGGGCGUGGGGGUAAGGAACCUUUUUGGGAAGGAAAAGAGGCCGGCUUAGUUUGGGGGGGGGUGACGGGACGCUGGAAAAAAGCCCCGGGUAACUUCGGG